rnacentral:rRNA from 1 species
AGAAUCAACGCUGGCGGCGUGCCUAACACAUGCAAGUCGAACGAGAAAGUGGAGCAAUCCAUGAGUAAAGUGGCGCACGGGUGAGUAACACGUGACUAACCUACCUUUUAGUGGGGGAUAACCUAGGGAAACCUGGGCUAAUACCGCAUAAUACUUACGAGUCAAAGCAGCAAUGCGCUGAAAGAGGGGUCGCGGCCGAUUAGCUAGUUGGCGGGGUAAUGGCCCACCAAGGCAGUGAUCGGUA